rnacentral:lncRNA from 1 species
UUUUUUUUUUCAGCUUCUCUCACAUCAUACUUAUAAUGGUUAUCUUUAAAAGAAAUGAGUAAAUGCUUAAAUUUAACACCAGCUUCUAUGUCUCUCUUUCUCUUUCCAAAAUUCUAAGCCCACACACUUUAUCUUAUGGGCUUGCUUCAUUUUUUUCAGCACAGGGUGCUGUAUCUCAGCCUUUUCCCAGGGGACAAUGCUGAGCUAACAUGCUCUUAUGCUAGCCGAGUCCCAGGUCUCUCCUGCCCUCUCCUCGAAGGCACUCGCUCACUUUCUGGGGAAGCACCUGUGCUACCAGUACCUCCCACCCACGCUGCCACAUUUCCUUUGGCUACAGAAUUUGCUCAACAAGGGUGGUGGUGGUGGUGGUGGUGGUGGUGGUGCUGCUGCUGCUGCUGCUGGGGGUGAUGGUUAAAUCCUUGAACCAGCGUCUUGCAGAAACAUAGUAGCAAGGAAGGACUUCCAGAGACCUUCCUGUGUUUUGAGAGCUGCAGCUGCACCAAGAGGCUUAGUCCAGGUCCAUGGGAGGGUUGCUCUUAGCUAGAGUUCUGGCUAAGAUAGAGAGGUAGGAAAGGCCCCUGGUCAGUCUAGGUAGGAGGUGAGCGAGUGGGCAGCUAAGCAAGAGGAUCACUAUUAUGCCCUCGGGAGGACUGUACUAAAUUCUUUAGGAGAACAAAGAAAACCCAGGUGGCAUGCAGCUCAGCAAUGGCUGUAGGUGGCCUCUAGGGUACCCUAGAGACCUUAUAGCCCUAAGGUCUCGGUGUGAUCCUGUCUUGCACUUCUUCUGUACUCUGCCUGCUGUGAGCUCAGCUGCUAAAGAACUGGAUUGGAAAGAGGGAAGGCCCACACACCCACUCAGCAGCUGAGUGAGUGAGGAUGAGGACCUGGAGGCAGGGAGGCUGCUUGAAAUGGGUAGAAGUGAGAAGCUAGAGUGUUCUUUCAUGUCUUCAGUGGCACUGAAUAGACUAUACUUACUGCUCAAGAAAGUCUGACUCGGUAAAAAAAAAAAAGUAUUAAUUCCAAUUUGAGGAAGUAGUUACUCUGGAAUAGUCUGCCUUACCUAUUGCAUUUACCUGAGAGCAGAUGGGUGGACGGUUGCCCUUCCUGUUUUGUUUUAAUAAACCAAACACUGGUUUGCUCUGCAUUGUCCUGUGGAAAAUGGGUGUAGCUUCUUCCUUAGCGACCAGUUGUGCUGGGGAGGGCAGCAUCUUGCUAUACACUCAGCCGGAUCAUUGGUUCCUGCUAUUGUCAAGGCCUAAGGAUGAUUACAACC